rnacentral:rRNA from 1 species
GACGUAGGGUGCAAGCGUUGUCCGGAUUUACUGGGCGUAAAGAGCGCGUAGGCGGCUCGUUAAGUGUGAAGCUAAAUCUCCAGGCUCAACCUGGAAACUAUUUCGCAUACUGGCGGGCUGGAGUGAUGCAGAGGUGGAUAGAAUUCCCGGUGUAGCGGUGAAAUGCGUUGAUAUCCGGAGGAAUACCAAAGGCGAAGGCAGUGUUCUGGGUGGCUCCUGACGCUCAGGUGCGAAAGCUAGGGGAGCGAACGGG